rnacentral:rRNA from 1 species
GACGUAGGUGGCGAACGUUAUCCGGAAUUAUUGGGCGUAAAGGGUGCGUAGGUGGUCAGACAAGUUAUCAGUGGCAAAUCGAGGCUCAACCUCGUGGAAACUGGUAAUACUGUCUGGCUUGAGUACAGGAGAGGUUAACGGAACUCUAUGUGGAGCGGUAAAAUGCAUAGAUAUAUAGAAGAACACCAAUAACGGCGAAGGCAGUUAACUAUUCUGUUACUGACACUGAGGCACGAAAGCGUGGGGAGCAAAACGG